UUGGUUUAGCUCCAGCGUCCAGGGUCCAGGAACCAAGAGAACCCUCGCGUCAGGAUCUUAGGUCUUCAGCGUCCUUCCUCAGCCCUGCCUUAUAGGCAUGACCAUUACCGAAGCCUCAAUGGGGGUUGGAACUUCCAGGUCAAAGCUGGAAUGGCUACCCACUACAGCCAACCUAUAGCAAG